UGGAUGAUGUGAUUAAUUCGAUGCAACGCGAAAACCUUACCUACCCUUGACAUGUCCGGAAUCCCGAAGAGAUUUGGGAGUGCUCGCAAGAGAGCCGGAACACAGGUGCUGCAUGGCUGUCGUCAGCUCGUGUCGUGAGAUGUUGGGUUAAGUCCCGCAACGAGCGCAACCCUUGUCAUUAGUUGCCAUCAUUUGGUUGGGCACUCUAAUGAGACUGCCGGUGACAAACCGGAGGAAGGUGGGGAUGACGUCAAGUCCUCAUGGCCCUUAUGGGUAGGGCUUCACACGUCAUACAAUGGUCGGUACAGAGGGUUGCCAACCCGCGAGGGGGAGCUAAUCCCACAAAGCCGAUCGUAGUCCGGAUCGCAGUCUGCAACUCGACUGCGUGAAGUCGGAAUCGCUAGUAAUCGUGGAUCAGCAUGUCACGGUGAAUACGUUCCCGGGUCUU
rnacentral:rRNA from 1 species